GACGAACGCUGGCGGCGUGCUUAACACAUGCAAGUCGAACGGAAAGGCCCUGCUUUUGUGGGGUGCUCGAGUGGCGAACGGGUGAGUAACACGUGAGUAACCUGCCCUUGACUUUGGGAUAACUUCAGGAAACUGGGGCUAAUACCGGAUAGGAGCUCCUGCUGCGUGGUGGGGGUUGGAAAGUUUCGGCGGUUGGGGAUGGACUCGCGGCUUAUCAGCUUGUUGGUGGGGUAGUGGCUUACCAAGGCUUUGACGGGUAGCCGGCCUGAGAGGGUGACCGGCCACAUUGGGACUGAGAUACGGCCCAGACUCCUACGGGAGGCAGCAGUGGGGAAUAUUGCACAAUGGGCGGAAGCCAGAUGCAGCAACGCCGCGUGCGGGAUGACGGCCUUCGGGUUGUAAACCGCUUUCGCCUGUGACGAAGCGUGAGUGACGGUAAUGGGUAAAGAAGCACCGGCUAACUACGUG
rnacentral:rRNA from 1 species